rnacentral:rRNA from 1 species
GACGAACCGUGCGAACGUUGUUCGGAAUCACUGGGCUUAAAGGGCGCGUAGGCGGCCGGGUUGGUCGUGGGUGAAAUCCCCCAGCUUAACUGGGGAACUGCCUACGAUACUGCCUGACUCGAGGGAGGAAGGGGCGGUCGGAACUGUCGGUGGAGCGGUGAAAUGCGUUGAUAUCGACAGGAACGCCGGUGGCGAAAGCGGACCGCUGGCCCUCUUCUGACGCUGAGGCGCGAAAGCCAGGGGAGCGAACGGG